UUGACCUGUUAAUGUGUCUGGUGUGUGUGUUUGUGUGUGCAUGUGUGCGUGUGCGCUCAUGUUUGUUUGUGCACGGUUGUGUAUGUGUCUGCGUGUCCAUGAAUGCACGGGAGAGAACAGAGUCAAUUCUACAUUUUCUUUUGCUGCUGUUGUAAUUGCUCUACUUCACACUGCCGAUCUCAGUAGAGUCUCAACUCAGUCCAACUGAAGAUCCUGACACACAGACACUAUGGGCGGAGAAACAUCACAUGACAUCUCAGACUACGACUUUAACUAUGGUAAAAAGCUCAGCUGUUGGAAGGGUCAUGCAAAGCCUGUGAACACCGCUGAACCUUGAAACAAGACAUUGACCAGAGACAGCCAUGAUUGGACCCAGGGACAUCCCUAUGACAUCAAAACCUUGGAAAGAUGAGGGAUCACUAUAUAUUUGUAUUUUACUAAUGGAGGAACAAUAUGAAGAGUGAUGGGUGGUGACUGUCACAUUACAAUAAUAUCAAAUUAGCAUUAAUAAAACAUUUUUUGCCAUU